UCAGAAUCACCAAAAAGCAGGCACUUCCAAAAUGAAAUCGUUUCUCAAUUGAAUAGAGGCAUAAAAAUCUUAUGCUUCAUACUUCCCAACAAUCCCUCAGUUGAAUCACUGAAGCUUUCAAAUUCUCUGUUUUCUUCAUUUUCUGAACCUGAUAUGCUUGAUAAAUGCUAAUCUGUAACUAUCAUAUUGGAAGUCAAAUCAUCAAAAUCAUCCUCUCUAACAGUAUCCUUUCCAGCAAUGCUUAACUUUAUCUGAAAUUAAAUAUAAAUGCAUUGUACUUUUCUUUUACAUGUUAUAAGUAAGUUCAAAUAACGAAAAUGUCCUAGCCAAUACAUAUAUCUUUAUGCACUAACAGAAGGAAACAAACAUUUUUGUAAAAUACAUUACAAAAAUAAAUGGUAUGUACAAAGGACGAAAAUGCCCUUACCAACAUUAUACAACAUCUUAUUAUCAAAUCCGAUUUCAUAUAUAAGGUAACAUAUCAUAAUUAUAUCAAUUUUUUCGAUCAUCACCGUCAAUUUCGUUACAUACCAGAUCAAGGGCAUCUUAUUAUCAAAUCUGAUUUCAUAUAUAAGGUAUCAUAUCAAUAUUAUAUUUAUAAUGUCAAUUACAUUUACUUUUAAUUAUAAUUAUUAUGUCAAUUUUAUCAUAUUCUAAACUAUAUAUACUUCAAACAUACCAUUGUAUAAUUCCUUUACAUCAUCCUCUUUCCAAGGUUUAAAAUCAUCACAGUCAAAACUCGUCCGGUCAAUCCCAGAAUUCAUUCCUUCCGGUAAGUUUAUAGAAAACCUACUUUCAGAUUGUUUUUUAUCUUUUCUUUCUUCUUGUGUUUCUUUACUGUCUGUAAAAUGCUUGAGAAAUCAAGCUUGUAAAAUGAAUUGUGGAACAUUUAGUAAGUUUUUUUUAACACAAAAUUGAGAAAUCAAACGUAAAAAAUGUUGAUUAGAGUAAACUUAGUGAUUGAUUGGACAAAAAUCGACCUGUUCACGAACACCGUGUGGAUAGAUAUCGCCAUAUGUGACAUUCCAUUCUUUCAUACCGUAUGGAUCUUCAGCGCCGGGUAAUUGCGAUUAGGAAAGCACCGACAGUCAUAAAAACAACAAAAUUUCUCGGCAUUAUCUUCAUCGACGAUGUUGAAUUAAGAAAAUACUUUAUAUCUCUAUUUCUGAGAUAAGCGAAAUCAUAUUUCAGAAGAUUGAAUUGAAUGGGGAGUUCAAGUGUCGUACAAAGUGAUGGAGGUGCAGUAGCUUAUGUUGGGAAAAAGAUGAAUAAAAGCAGGGGGGUAAAAAGUCG
rnacentral:lncRNA from 1 species